CAUAUUUCAACUGUCAUUUCAGCUGGUAGACCCUGAGGACAUGUUAUGUCAAUAGCAUCAUACACAGAGACUCCUGACGACCAAAAAUAUAUUUUAUGGAAAGGCUGAACAUCAAUAAGAAUUUGCUAAUAAGAACUAAUCACUGCUGCUUCUAAAAAAACAGACCGACAACACAGAAGCCCAUCAGGACAUUCAUCCCCAUCCCUACAGUCUGAGUUUAUUGUCAAUCAAAUUGGCUGCCGGCUCUGAAGAUAGCAGCUUAAAUGUGUAAUUAAUGAGUGGACAAAAUGAUGAGUUGAAGGGCCAACUGAUUGACAGUUAUCUCUGUGCUAAGUUGAGAGCAGCAGUGUAUGCAUUUGCAAUGCAAAUGCAAGGAAUCCACUGGAGGCCUUGUGUGAUGAAAGCAAUUGAAAAUGAUUAUGGGGGGGAGAGACAUAUAGCCAAACCAGAGGAAGAGGAUGGUGACCCAUCUGCACCCAUGAUGAUGCUCAAGAAGGUAAACUGCACAGCCAUAGUGCAACUCUUUUAAAAAACAGAGUCUUGCCCUCAACUAAUCUUUGUGCAUUCAAGAAAUGAUGAACCUAAGCAAAUGUUUGGCAUCUGUUAUGUAAAAAUUGCCCUGCCUUUUUGACAGAGCCACCAAAUUAGCCCAUAUUCUGAAAGCCCUCAGGACUAGUUCAGACAUGCAUCAUCCUUACUUCCUGACCAUGUAGCAUCAAGUGAUUAAUUGUAUGUGUAAAUUAUCCAUCAUAGAUUAUCUUAGAGAGAGCCUUCUUCGGCAUGAUCCUCACCGCACGUUAAGGUCAUCCGAGGAGGUCCAUCUCCAGUUUCCACCGGCUUGUCUGGUGGUGACUCAGAGGCGGGCCUUCUCUGUAGCUGCUCCUGGGCUGUGGAAUGCACUCCUGGCAGAAAUCUAUAAUUCGAGAUCAUUACUGUUUUUCAGGAGAGCCCUUAAAACCUGUCUGUUUGGCCUGGCCUUCCAGGGUUUUUUAACUACUGUAACUUGUUUUAAAUGGUUGCCCUGGUUUUCCAGGGUUUUUAGCUGUUUGCAUGUUUAAUUGGUUUUAUUCUACUUUUAUAGUUUUGAUUUUCAUUGUUAACUGGUUUUAAUUUAUUUUUAUUCUGUUGUAAACCACCCUGAGCCAUUUUGGAAGGGCGGUAUGUAAAUCAAAUAAAUAAAUAAAUAGAUUAAUCCUGC